rnacentral:rRNA from 1 species
AACGAACGCUGGCGGCAGGCCUAACACAUGCAAGUCGAACGCCCCGCAAGGGGAGUGGCAGACGGGUGAGUAACACGUGGGAACCUUCCCUAUAGUACGGAAUAGCCCAGGGAAACUUGGAGUAAUACCGUAUACGCCCGAAAGGGGAAAGAAUUUCGCUAUAGGAUGGGCCCGCGUAGGAUUAGCUAGUUGGUGAGGUAACGGCUCACCAAGGCGACGAUCCUUAGCUGGUUUGAGAGAACGACCAGCCACACUGGGACUGAGACACGGCCCAGACUCCUACGGGAGGCAGCAGUGGGGAAUAUUGGACAAUGGGGGCAACCCUGAUCCAGCCAUGCCGCGUGAGUGAAGAAGGCCCUCGGGUUGUAAAGCUCUUUUGUCCGGAAAGAAAAGCAUCUGGUUAAUACCCGGGUGUUCUGACGGUACCGGAAGAAUAAGCACCGGCUAACUUCGUG